rnacentral:rRNA from 1 species
UACGUAGGUUGCUAGCGUUGUUCGGAAUCAUUGGGCGUAAAGCGCGUGUAGGUCGUUAGUUAAGUCGGGUGUGAAAUCCCUGGGCUCAACCGAGGAAGUGCAUCCGAAACUAACUAGCUAGAGAAUGGUAGAGGAAGGUGGAAUUCCAAGUGUAGAGGUGAAAUUCGUAGAUAUUUGGAGGAAUACCGGCGGCGAAGGCGGCCUUCUGGACCAUUUCUGACACUGAGACGCGAAAGCGUGGGGAGCAAACAGG